rnacentral:rRNA from 1 species
CCUACGGGAGGCAGCAGUGGGGGAUAUUGCACAAUGGGGGAAACCCUGAUGCAGCGACGCCGCGUGAGUGAAGAGGUAUUUCGGUAUGUAAAGCUCUAUCAGCAGGGAAGAAAAUGACGGUACCUGACUAAGAAGCUCCGGCUAAAUACGUGCCAGCAGCCGCGGUAAU